rnacentral:lncRNA from 1 species
CCGCCUAAACCACCAGCAGCCAAACCACCAAAACCACCGGCAGUAAAACCUCCUAAACCCCCCACCAAACCUCCCACCCUUAAACCACACCCCCACCCUAAACCUCCCACCGUUAGACCACAUCCACACCCUAAGCCCCCUACCAAACCUCAUCCCAUCCCAAAACCGCCCACCGUUAAACCACCACCCUCCACACCCAAACCGCCCACAAAACCACCCACCGUUAAACCACCUCCAUCCACCCCUAAGCCGCCCACCAAACCACCCACCGUCAAACCACCACCCUCCACCCCAAAACCGCCCACCAAGCCACCCACCGUCAAACCACCUCCGUCCACCCCUAAACCACCUACCCACAAGCCACCAACAGUGUGCCCACCGCCAACACCAACACCAACCCCACCUGUUGUAACGCCACCAACACCACCAACACCAACUCCACCAGUCGUUACGCCACCAACACCAGCCCCACCUGUUGUAACGCCACCAACACCAACACCACCGGUCGUAACGCCACCGACACCAACCCCUCCUGUCGUAACACCUCCAACACCACCGGUCGUAACGCCACCGACACCAACUCCUCCUGUCGUAACACCACCAACACCACCGGUCGUAACGCCACCGACACCAACCCCUCCUGUCGUAACACCUCCAACACCACCGGUCGUAACGCCACCGACACCAACCCCUCCUGUCGUAACACCACCAACACCAACUCCACCUAAGCCAGAAACGUGCCCAAUCGACACGUUGAAGCUAGGCGCUUGUGUAGACGUUCUUGGAGGUUUAAUUCACAUCGGGCUUGGUGGAAGUAGCGCCAAGAAAGAGUGUUGUCCGGUUUUGGGAGGCUUAGUUGA